AUCAGACCUCUGAUCA
rnacentral:rRNA from 2 species